CCUACGGGAGACAGCAGUGAGGAAUAUUGGUCAAUGGGCGCGAGCCUGAACCAACCAAGUAGCGUGAAGGAUGAAGGCCCUACGGGUGGUAAACUUCUUUUAUAAAGGAAUAAAGGGAGGCACGUGUGCCUGUUUGGAUGGACGUUAUGAAUAAGGAACGGCUAACGCCGUGCCAGCAGCCGCGGUAAGACGGAGGUUCCGAGCGUUAUCCGGAUUUAUUGGUCUUAAAGGGAACGUAGAGGGGGUGUUAAGUCAGGUGUGACAGUUUGCGGCUCAACCGUAAAAGUGCAAUUGAUACUGGCAGUCUUGAGUCCAGUUGAGGUAGGCGGACUUCGUGGUGUAGCGGU
rnacentral:rRNA from 1 species